AGAGUUUGAUCAUGGCUCAGAUUGAACGCUGGCGGCACGCCUAACACAUGCAAGUCGAGCGGUAACAGGGUCUGUAGCAAUACAGGCUGCUGACGAGCGGCGGACGGGUGAGUAACACGUAGGAAUCUACCUCGAGCGGGGGACAACCAAGGGAAACUUUGGCUAAUACCGCAUAAACUCGGAAGAGUAAAGUUGCCCCG
rnacentral:rRNA from 1 species